AAGGGCCAUUGCCUUAGUACGGCGAGUGAAGCGGCAAAAGCUCAAAUUUGAAAUCUAGCACUUUCAGUGUUCGAGUUGUAAUUUGAAGAAGGUAACUUUGGAAUUGGCUCUUGUCUAUGUUCCUUGGAACAGGACGUCACAGAGGGUGAGAAUCCCGUGCGAUGAGAUGUCCAAUUCUAUGUAAAGUGCUUUCGAAGAGUCGAGUUGUUUGGGAAUGCAGCUCUAAGUGGGUGGUAAAUUCCAUCUAAAGCUAAAUAUUGGCGAGAGACCGAUAGCGAACAAGUACAGUGAUGGAAAGAUGAAAAGAACUUUGAAAAGAGAGUGAAAAAGUACGUGAAAUUGUUGAAAGGGAAGGGCUUGAGAUCAGACUUGGUAUUUUGUGUUCCUUAUCCUUCUUGGAUUAGGUUCCUCACAGCUUACCGGGCCAGCAUCGGUUUGGAUGGCAGGAUAAUGACAUUGGAAUGUAGCUUUGCUUCGGUGAAGUGUUAUAGACUUUGUUGAUACUGCCUAUCUAGACCGAGGACUGCGUCUUUGACUAGGAUGCUGGCGUAAUGAUCUUAAGCCGCCCGUCUUGAAACCACGGACCA
rnacentral:rRNA from 1 species